UAUGAAUCUAUGAGUAUAUUAAAAGGUU
rnacentral:piRNA from 1 species